ACAUUAUCUUUGGAUAAAAAAAAUAUUCAAGAUGAACACCUUCCUCGGCCUCUUUGUGACGCUCCUCCUGACCGUAUGCAUGAUGUCGUUCUCCGACGCAUGCUGUUGUCAUCACGGCAGCCACAGCAGCCACCACAGCAGGCACGGCAUCCCCGUCCCCAUCCCCUACCCCAUGGGCGGUAGCGGCGGUGGCAGCCACUCCGCCAACAUCCCCCUCAUCAUCACAACAACAGGAAAAUAGACACAGGUGUUGCCCCUCCUGCUGGCGGGAGAGAGUCUGCUACAUCAACACGAGUCGUCGACGAGAUGCUACAUAUUCCAAACACCAAGGCCUGAUGUUUACUGCUGAUGUGCUAUUAAACAAACAUAUAUACAUAUUCAUCUUU